CCUACGGGUGGCAGCAGUGGGGAAUAUUGGACAAUGGGGGGAACCCUGAUCCAGCGACGCCGCGUGAGUGAAGAAGUAUUUCCGUCUGUAAAGCUCUAUCAGCAGGGAAGAAAGAAAUGACGGUACCUGACUAAGAAGCCACGACGAACUACCUGACAGCAGCCGCGGUAAGAAGUAGGGGGCAAGUGUUAUGCGGAUUUACUGGGGGUAAAGGGGGCGUAGACGGUUACGCAAGUCUGGAGUGAAAGGCGGGGGCACAACCCCCGGACUGCGUUUGAAACUGUAUAACUGGAGUGCAGGGGAGGUAAGUGGAAGUCCUGGUGUAGCGGUGACAUGCGUAGAUAUUAGGAGGAACACCAGUGGCGAAGGCGGCUUACUGGACUGUAACUGACGUUGAGGCUCGAAAGCGUGGGGAGCAAACAGGAUUAGAUACCCGAGUAGUC
rnacentral:rRNA from 1 species